rnacentral:rRNA from 1 species
GUGCCAGCCGCCGCGGUAAUACGUAGGGGGCAAGCGUUGUCCGGAUUUAUUGGGCGUAAAGAGCUCGUAGGCGGUUCGGCAAGUCAGAUGUAAAAACUCCAGGCUCAACUUGGAGAGGCCAUCUGAUACUGCCGUGACUAGAGUCCGGUAGAGGAGCACGGAAUUCCUGGUGUAGCGGUGAAAUGCGUAGAGAUGUGGAGGAACACCAGUGGCGAAGGCGACUCUUUGGCCUGUAUCUGACGCUGAGGCGCGAAAGCGUGGGGAGCAAACAGGAUUAGAUACCCUGGUAGUCCACGCCGUAAACGAUGAGUGCUAAGUGUUAGAGGGUUUCCGCCCUUUAGUGCUGCAGCAAACGCAUUAAGCACUCCGCCUGGGGAGUACGGCCGCAAGGCUAAAACUCAAAGGAAUUGACGG